UACGAAGGGGGCUAGCGUUGCUCGGAAUCACUGGGCGUAAAGGGUGCGUAGGCGGGUCUUUAAGUCAGGGGUGAAAUCCUGGAGCUCAACUCCAGAACUGCCUUUGAUACUGGCAACCUUGAGUCCGGGAGAGGUGAGUGGAACUGCGAGUGUAGAGGUGAAAUUCGUAGAUAUCAGGAAGAACACCUAUGGCGAAGGCAGCUCUCUGGGACGGUACUGACGCUGAGACGCGAAAGCGUGGGGAGCGAACAGG
rnacentral:rRNA from 1 species